rnacentral:rRNA from 1 species
UACAGAGGUGGCAAGCGUUGUUCGGAAUUACUGGGCGUAAAGCGUGCGCAGGCGGUUAUGCAAGACAGAUGUGAAAUCCCCGGGCUCAACCUGGGAACUGCAUUUGUGACUGCAUGGCUAGAGUACGGUAGAGGGGGAUGGAAUUCCGCGUGUAGCAGUGAAAUGCGUAGAUAUGCGGAGGAACACCGAUGGCGAAGGCAAUCCCCUGGACCUGUACUGACGCUCAUGCACGAAAGCGUGGGGAGCAAACAGG